CGUGUAGGCGGCUUUGCAAGUCGGGUGUGAAAUCCCUCAGCUUAACUGAGGAAGUGCGCCCGAAACUGCCGAGCUUGAGUACCGGAGAGGGUGGCGGAAUUCCCCAAGUAGAGGUGAAAUUCGUAGAUAUGGGGAGGAACACCGGUGGCGAAGGCGGCCACCUGGACGGAUACUGACGCUGAGACGCGAAAGCGUGGGGAGCAAACA
rnacentral:rRNA from 1 species